GUCUCAGUUCGGAUCGGAGUCUGCAACUCGACUCCGUGAAGCUGGAUUCGCUAGUAAUCGCGGAUCAGAAUGCCGCGGUGAAUACGUUCCCGGGUCUUGUACACACCGCCCGUCACACCAUGGGAGUCGGAAAUGCCCGAAGUCUGUGACCCAACCUCAGGGAGGGAGCAGCCGAAGGCAGGUCGGAUGACUGGGGUGAAGUCGUAACAAGGUACC
rnacentral:rRNA from 1 species